GUUCCCUUAAACGCUUCAU
rnacentral:snRNA from 1 species